GGGGAUGGAGCUCAGUUGGUAGAGUGCUUACCUUGCAUGCACAAGGCCCAGGGUUCAAUCCUCAGCAUCACCA
rnacentral:tRNA from 1 species